rnacentral:rRNA from 1 species
CAGAGGGUGCGAGCGUUAAUCGGAAUUACUGGGCGUAAAGGGUGCGUAGGUGGUUUGAUAAGUUAGGUGUGAAAGUCCUGGGCUUAACCUGGGGAUUGCGCUUAAGACUGUCGAGCUAGAGUACUGUAGAGGAAGGUGGAAUUUCCGGUGUAGCAGUGAAAUGCGUAGAUAUCGGAAGGAACAUCAGUGGCGAAGGCGACUUUCUGGACAGAUACUGACACUGAGGCACGAAAGCGUGGGGAGCAAACAGGAUUAGAUACCCUGGUAGUCCACGCUGUAAACGAUGAGGACUGGCUGUUGGGCGCUGUGAGGCGCUUAGUAGCGAAGCUAACGCGUUAAGUUCUCCGCCUGGGGAGUACGGCCGCAAGGCUA